UACAGAGGUGGCAAGCGUUGUUCGGAAUUACUGGGCGUAAAGGGCGCGUAGGCGGUUCGUUAAGUCCUGUGUGAAAUCCCCCGGCUCAACUGGGGAACUGCACAGGAAACUAGCGGGCUUGAGUUCGGGAGAGGGAAGCGGAAUUCCGGGUGUAGCGGUGAAAUGCGGUAGAUAUCCGGGAGGAACACCGGUGGCGAAGGCG
rnacentral:rRNA from 1 species